rnacentral:rRNA from 1 species
AUUGAACGCUGGCGGCAGGCUUAACACAUGCAAGUCGAGCGGGGGAAGGUAGCUUGCUACCGGACCUAGCGGCGGACGGGUGAGUAAUGCUUAGGAAUCUGCCUAUUAGUGGGGGACAACAUCUCGAAAGGGAUGCUAAUACCGCAUACGUCCUACGGGAGAAAGCAGGGGAUCUUCGGACCUUGCGCUAAUAGAUGAGCCUAAGUCGGAUUAGCUAGUUGGUGGGGUAAAGGCCUACCAAGGCGACGAUCUGUAGCGGGUCUGAGAGGAUGAGCAGCCACACUGGGACUGAGGCACGGCCCAGAAUCCUACGGGUGGCAGCAGGGGGGAAGAUUGGACAAUGGGGGGAACCCUGAUCCAGCCAUGCCGCGUGUGUGAAGAAGGGCUUAUGGUUGUAAAGCACUUUAAGCGAGGAGGAGGCUACUUUAGUUAAUACCUAGAGAUAGUGGACGUUACUCGCAGAAUAAGCACCGGCUAACUCUGUGCCAGCCGCCGCCGUAAAAC